GGGAGUCAAUGCUGAGACCAAGGUGUCUUUAUUUAGAGACAGGGAGUCAAUGCUGAGACCAAGGUGUCUUUAUUGAGACAGGGAGAGGUAGAGGUCAUGUGAUGUAAUUACACAGGCCGAUGCUGCAGGGAUGUAGAGGUCAUGUGAUGUAAUUACACAGGCCGAUGCUGCAGGGAUGUAAUGAGGUGGUGUAAUUACACAGGCCGAUGCUGCAGGGAUGUAAUGAGGUGAUGUAAUUACACAGGCCGAUGCUGCAGGGAUGUAGAGGUCAUUUGAAGCAGCCUUUCUUCCAUCGCGUGUUUGGAACAAUGACAAAGACAUCGGCAACUUUGUAUUCUGUCGUCAACUCCGCUCUGAAGUGACCUGGCGGGCACCGUCAGGCAGAGAUCAACAUCUUGAUGUAUGUUCAGUGAGAUCUGAGUUUACAGUGUACAACAUCUAGCACUUAGCUGACAUUUGUUUGUUUUUUUUAACAAGCUUUUUCAAGUACAACAUUAAUAUAAUGAUGGUUUUGGGAAACAUUGAAGGAGAUUUAAUGAUGCUCCUAACGAAGGUUUUAAAGAGGAAUUUAUUAGUCUUACGAUGCUUCUGAGAAAUCAGUCUCUCUGGGUCUCCUGUUCUCUCACCCAGAGGAUUAUGGUUGUAUCCUAAAUGGCACGUCUCUCUCCCUCCCUGCUAGAGGCACCU
ensembl:lncRNA